rnacentral:lncRNA from 1 species
AUAUAUGUACACAUAUAUAUAUAAAUAUAUAUAUAUAUAAAACAUAUAUAUGUACACAUACACACACACACACACACAUAUAAGUACUAGACGUUUUCAGAAAGGGAGAGAUAAAAUGAAACUGGUGUUUUUGGAGAGAUAGUUGUCCUGUGGUUUGGAGUGUGGUAUAAAUAGACACCUGAGAUUGGAGUCCAGGACAGCGGGUAGGAAACUAUUACAGUAGCUUAUUCACAAACUGGUAAGGGCCUGAGCCAGGGUAAUGGUGAGGGGAGAGGAAAGCUUGGGCAGGAGACAUGAAAGAAAUGCCAAAACCUGUGACUGAGUGGGUUAGAAGAACAACAGAGACCGAAAAAUGUUCACCCCUUCAACAACAUUUAUAAACACCAUCUGGAUGCCAUCCAUUGUUUGGAUCCAAAUAUGGAGAGUCAAAUCACAUUUCCUAACUUCAAAAAGUACAUCGUGUAAUGAAAAAUGAGAGCAAAUAAACAAAUGCUUAAAAUAGGAUGUGAUGACAACUCCAUGCAGGAACACAGUAUAAAAGCAGUGCAUGGAAUGGGGCAUGUACAUCAGGAAAGGAGUUUAAUGUUAGGUUCUUCUAGAAGCCAACUCAAAGAUUUCACUUCGAGUAAAAGAUGGGUGCUACUCUUCCCAAGGCAAAACCACCCUUAAAGUGGAUCCUGGAUAACUGUGACCAAUUUGACCCAUGAUCUUUGAAGAAGAAGUGGCUCAUUUUUCUCUGCCAAACAGCGUGGCCAUGAUAUCCUCUGCUGAGUGAAGAAACCUGGCCUCCUAAGGGAAGUAUAAAUUAUAACACCCUUCUACAAUUAGACCUAUUCUGUAAGAGGGAAGG